AUGCAACACCCACUCCUUCCUAUAUUCUAUUCAUAACUCUCAUCAUUCAUUCAUCCACUUUCCUUAAUCUUUCAUUUUAGAUCUCUUACCUUCUUCUUCUUCUUCUCUGUUAGCCUUUUGUUCCAUCGUUAUUUUGUAUCUGUAUCAGCCUCAUCUUUGUUUUUUUUUUCUUUCUUGUAAAAGGUUCCCAUCUCAAGCUUAUGAGACCAUAGGUGGAGUGAAGAUGGAUCUGUGGCCACUGAAGAAAGGGCAAGAUAAGGAAUGAUUGUAUACGAAGAGAUAUUAGCAUAACUUAUUGAGGAAAAGAAGAUAGAAAUUCGGUAUGCAAAGAAGUCCAUUCGAGGCAUUGGUGAGGAGAGAUGACAUGAUUUCUAGCCCCAUGAGCAGUAAAGAGAGAUCAAAAAGGACAUUGGACAAAUUAAAAGGGAUUUCAUGAUAAUCAUCGGUAGCUUCAUUAAUAUUCUUUCAAGGAUACAUACUUGAGGUAGGCAAGCACAUAUCCGGCGAUAAUGUUUGGAGGCAACAAUGGAAAUCGCUUGCUUCCUGUUUUCUUGGAUGAGACUCAAUUUCGGCAUCAAACUAAUGCAUCAAAUCAGCUACAGUUGUUUGGAAACUCACAAAUGGUAAUGGUGUU